UACAGAGGUCCCAAGCGUUGUUCGGAUUCAUUUGGGCGUAAAGGGUGCGUAGGCGGCGCGGUAAGUCGGGUGUGAAAUCUCGGAGCUUAACUCCGAAACUGCAUUCGAUACUGCCGUGCUUGAGGACUGGAGAGGAGACUGGAAUUUACGGUGUAGCGGUGAAAUGCGUAGAUAUCGUAAGGAAGACCAGUGGCGAAGGCGGGUCUCUGGACAGUUCCUGACGCUGAGGCACGAAGGUCAGGGGAGCAAACGGG
rnacentral:rRNA from 1 species